GACGAACGCUGGCGGCGUGCUUAACACAUGCAAGUCGAACGAUGAUCCAGAGCUUGCUCUGGUGAUUAGUGGCGAACGGGUGAGUAACACGUGAGCAAUCUGCCCUUGACUCUGGGAUAAGCGUUGGAAACGACGUCUAAUACCGGAUACGACCCUCGGAGGCAUCUCCUGGUGGUGGAAAGAAUUUUGGUCAAGGAUGAGCUCGCGGCCUAUCAGCUAGUUGGUGAGGUAAUAGCUCACCAAGGCGACGACGGGUAGCGGCCUGAGAGGGUGACCGGCCACACUGGGACUGAGACACGGCCCAGACUCCUACGGGAGGCAGCAGUGGGGAAUAUUGCACAAUGGACGAAAGCCUGAUGCAGCAACGCCGCGUGAGGGACGACGGCCU
rnacentral:rRNA from 1 species